rnacentral:lncRNA from 1 species
UGUGUCAAUAUUUUAACCAUACUGAAUCAAACCUGUUUGCUGAGUCAACGGAAGGGUACACCACGUAAUCCUUGCAUGAGGGGAUGCAAUCCUGAGGCACAACAGCAGUAAAUGAACGAUGCUCCUCCCAUAGCAACAGAAUUCCACGGAUUACCAUACAGCACUCCCUCAUCAUUCAAGACUGUUUCAUGUGUACCUCAAAGAAUUGUGUAGUGCACCAUCUACAGAAAUACUACAGAUUACGCAGACUGUGGAAACAGGCAGGUGCUCAUCUCAUCAUCCUGCUGAACAUUUAAGACACGCCUGGAAUGACAGCCACCCAUCAGCUCUUGGGAAAAACAAACAACCCCAAAACCACAUCAUUACAAAUGGACUUUGCACCAGAGAGGCUUUAACAUGAGAAAUAGGUGAUGGCAGUGGGAGACGUGCUUGAAAG